CAUGCUCCAAAACUGCUUGCUAGGCCGCAUCAAAUGAGUCCACCCCACUGAUCUAUAUAUAUAACUGGAUAGCUCAUGACGUCACAACAGUGAAGCUACUGCGCCGCCAUCUUGGUAUUCCCUAACAUUCUGUACUCCUAUGUGUCUCAAUGGGAAAUCGUCUGUUUUGCAGCAUUACGUUCAGCGGCGCACGUGCGCACGUGUUUCAAUAGAAACAAGUUUAAGAAACUGAGUGCAGGCCUGAAUACGGUCCAGCUCACGGGCAUCAUUUAUAAAGUGAUCAAUUGGAAUAGACGAGGAGCAGGGCAGGACUGGUAAUCUGGACUACCGGACAUUUUUCCGGUGGACCGACAAACUUUGGGGCCGAUCAGGGUGGACUGGCCAUCGGGAGAACCGAGCGGGUCGCUGUGUCGGCCGCGAUAAUCUAAAACGAGCCGCCGCGUUAGCGAACACUACCCCCCAACAACUUUUUGACAGUUAUGUCAAAUCCCGGGCCGAUUUCUCUUUCCAGUCCAGCCCUGAAAAGGUGCACAUGGAUAUUGUUGAAGUUAAACAAGGUAAAUUUGCCGUUUGGAUUUCAAUAAACAUCGCACUGAAUGUUAGAUAAAGCUGGAAUUGGUUUGCAACAGGAGGAAAAGCUGUAUGAGGAGUCAGCCUGGCUUCACUGAAGAGCUGUUUUAACAGAGUAAAAAAUAUUAUACUGUCUGUUUUUAUUUGCAAUGAAGAUACUUUUGCAACAUGCAGUAUAAGUCUCAUAAAAUUACUGUGUUUCAGAUAGUUAUAACAUUUAAUAUUAAUAGAAAA